rnacentral:tRNA from 2 species
GAGGGGGAGAAUCAAAUCAACAAGAACUGCUAAUUCUUGCACCUGAGCCUAAAACCUCAGCCCCCUUA